rnacentral:rRNA from 1 species
AGAUGCUUAACACAGCAGCCACUGGAAUUGGUUUAUACUUAAAUUUGAUGAUGGAAGGUGAUAACGCUAAAGAACUUGCCUCACAGCUAGGAAAACAUUUAGAAGUGAAUGCUAAACCCAAUAAUAGAUUUUAGGCCUCUUAGUUUAUAAAACUACAAGCUCUGUGAGAGAGCUAUGGGUCACAUUAACUAAUUGGUGGGUCACAUUUCAACAAGGAGAUGAAUGUAUACCCCGCCUGAGAGGGUGAGCGCCCACAAGGAGUCUGAGACGCGGCCCUUUCUCCUACGCGACGCAGCAGUGGGGAAUAUUGGACAAUGGACCGAGAGUCUGAUCCAGCAAUUCUGUGUGCGCGAUGAAGUUUUUCGGAAUGUAAAGUGCUUUCAGUUGGGAAGAGAGAAAUGACGGUCCAACAGAAGAAGUGACGGCUAAAUACGUGCCAGCAGCCGCGGUAAUACGUAUGUCACAAGCGUUAUCCGGAUUUAUUGGGCGUAAAGCGCGUCUAGGUGGUUAUGUAAGUCUGAUGUGAAAAUGCAGGGCUCAACUCUGUAUUGCGUUGGAAUCUGUAUAACUAGAGUACUGGAGAGGUAAGCGGAACUACAAGUGUAGAGGUGAAAUUCGUAGAUAUUUGUAGGAAUGCCGAUGGGGAAGCCAGCUUACUGGACAGAUACUGGCUCUAAAGCGCGAAAGCGUGGGUAGCAAACAGG